rnacentral:rRNA from 1 species
GGCACGCCUAACACAUGCAAGUCGAACGAAGUAGCAAUACUUAGUGGCAGACGGGUGAGUAACAUGUGGGUAUCUGCCCUUUGGCCUGGAAUAACACGAGGAAACUUGUGCUAAUACCGGAUAAGUCUUUACGGAGAAAGCUUUAUGCACCAUUGGAUGAGCCCGCACUUGAUUAGUUUGUUGGUAGGGUAAUGGCCUACCAAGACUUUGAUCAAUAGCUGAUUUGAGAGGAUGAUCAGCCACAUUGGGACUGAGACACGGCCCAAACUCCUACGGGAGGCAGCAGUGGGGAAUCUUGCACAAUGGAGGAAACUCUGAUGCAGCGAUGCCGCGUGAGUGAAGAAGGCCUUUGGGUUGUAAAGCUCUUUCGUCGGGGAAGAAAAUGACUGUACCCGAAUAAGAAGGUCCGGCUAACUUCGUGCCAGCAGCCGCGGUAAUACGAAGGGACCUAGCGUAGUUCGGAAUUACUGGGCUUAAAGAGUUCGUAGGUGGUUGAAAAAGUUGGUGGUGAAAUCCCAGAGCUUAACUCUGGAACUGCCAUCAAAACUUUUCAGCUAGAGUUUGAUAGAGGAAAGCAGAAUUUCUAGUGUAGAGGUGAAAUUCGUAGAUAUUAGAAAGAAUACCAAUUGCGAAGGCAGCUUUCUGGAUCAUUACUGACGCUGAGGAACGAAAGCAUGGGUAGCGAAGAGGAUUAGAUACCCUCGUAGUCCAUGCUGUAAACGAUGUGUGUUAGACGUUGGAAAUUUAUUUUCAGUGUCGCAGCGAAAGCGAUAAACACACCGCCUGGGGAGUACG